GCCAGGUGAAGGGCAGGGCUGACAGCUGACAUCACCUCUUACCCAAAGAUCUAUGGGCGACACCUAACCCCUCCCACGCCAGCCAGGGUGGGGCAGGCCGGGCACCAGGGCCCUGUUGAAUAAGGGAAACUGAGAGAUGGAGAAGUCGAAGGGACCACCUGACCUCAGAGUGAAAGCCACCCUCCUGUGGCCUUUGUGGUUCCUACCACAUACCACGUGGACCCAUAGCUCAGUCCCUGCCCCUUCUUCCUUCCUCCCCACCUCUCCCAGAUCUGAAAUCAACACAGACCUCUGAGGGCACAAGCAAAAUGGACUAGUCAUGGCUGUGCUGCUCCUGUCUGAGGUUACGUAGCUGAGGAUACGAUCCUGCCUGAGGAUACGAUCCUGCCACGGGCAAAAGGAACCCACUGGGAGACUCCGGAAGUGGCCAUGCUUCCUCCCGACUGGCACCUGUGCAGGGGCUGGCCGCCACCCAUGGCACAGUGUCUCACAGAGGGCGGGGCUGGCCGAGGAGGCAGGAAAGAGCUGUUGUGCUGAUGAGGUGCCGUCGUGUCACACGGACAGGAGUGCCAGAAUUCAGAGGAAGCGCGGGCCUAGGCCGUGGCCAGAACAUCCAGCCUGGCUUUGUGAAUAUCCUGAUGCUUUGAGCUACCCUCAUUCCAACUGCCCGGCCAGGGAAAGGCUGAAGAGGACUGAGCAGUACUCCAAACACGGAAGAGCAAAAGGAUGAGGACCAGAAGAUUCUGGAAGAAUAAGGAAGAGGAAAGGAAGGGUGGGGAAUCUGCUCCAGCUCCACCCUGCACUCUGGAUCCUCAAACCAUUGCUCUACUUUUCCUUACCUGCCUGUGGGUCUCCUAGACCUGGGAUCUCUGAUUCCAGGUAACAGACAAAGCCCCUGUCCCUUUGUCCUCCAUUCCCCACUUCCCAGCCCCUGCCUCCCCGCAGCUGUGAUAACCCACACGUAGCACUCUGCCCUCUGGAAUUUAUUUUAAGGUCUUGGCUUGUUUAUUUAUUUUAUUUAGAGAUUUCUCGGUGCUUUGUGGGGAGGAAAAUUCGAAUGGGGCGAUUAUGAAAUACUAUUUCACCUCGCUGUUCAUUCACAACAAACAAAGAGAAAUGAUUGGUGAUUAAAAAUGCAUUCUCUCUGCUUGUUUUCUUUUGUUUUACCAUUAUGGAAAUAUUAUAAAUACUGAAUACUAAUCUAGACCUCCGGGACCUCACAGACCUUCCCGAAACCAAGGCUCCUGCUCUUCCCUGGGGCAGCCUCAUGCUGUCCUCUGGGGCCCCAAAAUAUAGCUCAAACCCUCCCCGGAGGGUCCCAGGCCAGGAGACUCCAUGACUCAGUCCUCACUGGACAGAGAUUGAAGUCUCCCACUUCUUUGUCCUGGUUCCUCGCUUUGGCAGAAAUAGUCAAGGAGAGCAGAGCCGUGGAUAUGCAGAGCUCUUGAUUAGUCCAAAAGUUGUGAUCAUAGAGUUUUAUCCCCAGAGUCCAGCACCUGAACCCCCACUCCCUGCUCCACCACUUCUUGGCUGUGUAACUUGGGCAUGUGGCUUCACCUUUCUGAGCUUCCGUUUCUUACUCUGGUUGCUGGGGGUGAAAAUGGUACCCACCUCGUAGGAUUGCUUUGAGGAUUAAAUGGGGUCAUAACAUCUUAUCACAGGGCCUGGCAAACAGAAGUGCUCAAUGAAUGUUGGCUUCUAUCUCAAUUAAUUUCCCUUUCCCUCUUCCG
rnacentral:lncRNA from 1 species